CGGAGUCGUGUGGUUUAAUUCGUUGCUACACGAAGUAACCUUACCUGGGUUUGACAUAUAGGUUGUAGGGAACUGAAAGGGACCGACCCUUCGGGGAGCCUAUACAGGUGUUGCAUGGCUGUCGUCAGCUCGUGUCGUGAGAUGUUCGGUUAAGUCCGCUAACGAGCGCAACCCUCGUCGUAUGUUAUAUGUGUCAUACGAGACUGCCGGUAAAAGCCGGAGGAAGGUGAGGAUGAUGUCAAGUCAGCAUGACCUUUAUAUCCAGGGCUACACACACGCUACAAUGGUCUGUACAAUGGGUAGCCAAGCCGCGAGGCGGAGCCAAUCCUGAAAGCAGGCCUCAGUUCAGAUUGCAGUCUGCAACUCGACUGCAUGAAGCCGGAGUUGCUAGUAACCGCAGGUCAGCAAUACUGCGGUGAAUACGUUCCCGGGUCUU
rnacentral:rRNA from 1 species